rnacentral:lncRNA from 1 species
UUGUUGUUAUUGUUGAAGUACAAGAAACUUCAUAAUACUGUACUAUAUUAUGCUUUAGUUUUACAUUCCUUGUGAAAUGUUUGGUUCUUGCAUUGUGUUUCAUAUCAUCAAUUGAGUAUCCUGCCAACUCAAAGGACACAAAUUUCUUUCUGAGUAUGUGUGGCUAGGAUCCAGUAUCUACGUGAUAGGGGAAGACAUCCAAUUGCGUAAUGUUGUCUAGCAUUAAAGUCUUGUAUGUAGGGCAAGUGCUGCUACACAUAUAUUGAGCAUUAUUGUCAUAAACGAUGCAUUACUUUACCACAGC